AUUGAACGCUGGCGGCAGGCCUAACACAUGCAAGUCGAGCGGAUGAAGGGAGCUUGCUCCUGGAUUCAGCGGCGGACGGGUGAGUAAUGCCUAGGAAUCUGCCUGGUAGUGGGGGAUAACGUCCGGAAACGGGCGCUAAUACCGCACACGUCCUGAGGGAGAAAGUGGGGAUCUUCGGACCUCACGCUAUCAGAUGAGCCUAGGUCGGAUUAGCUAGUUGGUGGGGUAAAGGCCUACCAAGGCGACGAUCCGUAACUGGUCUGAGAGGAUGAUCAGUCACACUGGAACUGAGACACGGUCCAGACUCCUACGGGAGGCAGCAGUGGGGAAUAUUGGACAAUGGGCGAAAGCCUGAUCCAGCCAUGCCGCGUGUGUGAAGAAGGUCUUCGGAUUGUAAAGCACUUUAAGUUGGGAGGAAGGGCAGUAAGUUAAUACCUUGCUGUUUUGACGUUACCAACAGAAUAAGCACCGGCUAACUUCGUG
rnacentral:rRNA from 1 species